CCUGGAGACUCCUACGGGAGGCAGCAGUGGGGAAUAUUGCACAAUGGGGGAAACCCUGAUGCAGCGACGCCGCGUGAGUGAAGAAGUACUUCGGUAUGUAAAGCUCUAUCAGCAGGGAAGAAAAUGACGGUACCUGAGUAAGAAGCCCCGGCUAACUACGUGCCAGCAGCCGCGGUAAUACGUAGGGGGCAAGCGUUAUCCGGAUUUACUGGGUGUAAAGGGAGCGCAGACGGUUGCGCAAGUCUGAAGUGAAAUCCCGAGGCUUAACCACGGGACUGCUUUGGAAACUGUGCGACUUGAGUAUCGGAGGGGCAGGCGGAAUUCCUAGUGUAGCGGUGAAAUGCGUAGAUAUUAGGAAGAACACCGGUGGCGAAGGCGGCCUGCUGGACGAAAACUGACGUUGAGGCUCGAAGGCGUGGGGAGCAAACAGGAUUAGAAACCCUUGUAGUCC
rnacentral:rRNA from 1 species